AUAACCCUCGAUCAAAGUAUCCCUGAUAACUGAGUAUGAGAAUGAUUUUUUUGGCACGAGCCAAGCUUUUCAGGAAAUCAUAAGCCUAGUUGUUUAUUUGGUUGAAAUGAGUUGAAAGGUAAUGAAAUUACAAUAUGAUGACUUAUUUUAAUUCGUCUCCAUUUACUCGCCUUUAGAUAGUUUAGAUGGUGUCUGUUUACUCACUGAGAUUUUAUAAUCUCACCACCCUCAUUUCCUCACAUUUCAGGCUCGGGGAAUUCCAUAGUUAGCUGACUCUGACAAGGACCUUCAUUUGGACUUGAAUCAGCAAAAGUUGUAGGUUUUCAGCUUCCGAUGCAUUUUCGUUAGAUGUGGGUCCACGUGUCGCUGUAAAAGUAAUUUUAUGCUUUGGUUAUUUUUUUAUAGUAUAUAUGAAUAUAAUUAACUUUUACGCUAUAAGAAUUAUUUACCGAUAGCUUUAUAAAAAUUAUUUUACCAGAAAAUAUUUUAUUUUAUCGAAUAUUUUUAUUAUAUUCAAAUAGUCAAAUUUUCACUUCAAAUGAACGUUUUAGAUACUUAAUUUGUUUUUAAAUCACUAAAAAUAUAUUUUUUUCUUACCUAUUACAUUUUUAACAAGUUUUGAGAUUUUUGACAAAAAAAUGACGAAAAUGCCCUUAUGAGCAAAAAAAUAAUAUGUUAUGUUCUGAUUUGGAAAUGACUCAUAAUCCUUCGAAUUACGAUAUUUGAUAACUAUUGCUCAUCGGGGAAGUGCGAAAGUUGAUACAAGAGCCUUGCGAGGUUUCGAUCAGCAUUCGGGGUGAAGAAUGUUUGUCGAGGCUUCGCGGCGGUUGUCAAGGGCUCGAUGGGAGUUUCGGGUCGUGACUCAUUCUAGUGGUAUCAGAGCAUGGUUUAAAGAUUAGAGAUUUUGAUUAUAAAGUUUUGGAUUUUAAAGUUUUUGGUUUAAAGUUGUUUUAAGAAAUUCAUACUGACAUUGCGUGGCCCUGAGUUAAGUUAGGUUAGGUCGAAUAAAAUGCAUGAAUCUGCAUAUAGAGACCUGUUUGUUUUCAAGGUGUAUAAGAGAUUAAGUGAUUGUCGUUAGACAUUCUCCCUCAGGCUGUGGGAGCAAUGUAAGUAAAUGGCAAGAGAAGAAAAAGGAAAAACUUGAAACAGACUCGAAAAAGGAUCAAAAUGAUAAUGAUCCUAAAGAUGUUUAGCGCCUUGUUAAAGCUUGUAAUACUGUAAUCCUAGGCAGAUAUAGUAUAAGAAGGAUAAUAAUCCCCUGUAUAAAAGGCUUAAGAGUUGACUUUUGUCUUGUAUAAUAUAAACGGAUGAUGGAGUAGUUGUUUAAAUGAUAGAAGGAGUAUAAAAAUCUUUUAGUUUGACAAAGGUAGAUUAGUAAUAUAAGUAUUGAGGAUGAAUAAUUAUCUUAGUGGCAAGAUCGAUUAUUUUAAAUAAGUACUGAAGGUUGAAAUAGGAAGCCAUUAAUGGUUCUAGCAAUUAUUAGAUUUAAUAACGAUUAAACCUUGCAGUACUAUGAAUUGAUCACCGGUUAGCGGGAUUAAGUCAAGGAUUAUAAAUUUGAGUAUGGAGGGAAUUAAAAGGUGAUACCGUAAAAUUUUAAGAUGAGAAAUAUAAUCGAUUACGACUAUGAAAAUAGUGGGAUACUAUAAAUAAUGAAUCAUUAGGCGUGUGAUGAAGUUGUGAUCUAUUAAACCAUAUGGGAAGAAUGUACUAAGGUGGGACAUAGGACAUGAGGAUUUUUGGAGAUGCUUAUAGAGGGAGAUAUAAAUUGUAAAGUAUGUUUUCCCCCACAAGUUUUAAUUUAUUUGAGAAAUUAUCAUGGUAAAGAUAUGUGAAUAUUAGUAGUAAAAUAUGCCUUAAGGGAUAACUGUGACAUAUCACAUAGAUAAUAUAGAUAUGUUGGGGUCAGUAUCCCGAUCAUGCAUCUGUGAUAGAAAAUUUACUUUGCUAAUUGUGGUAUAGACUCAAAAAGGAGUCAAGCCGUUGAGAACGACUAAGGUAGUAACUCCAAAAGAAAAAGAUUUGUUUUAAUUAAGUAGAUUCCAACGACUACAUUGAAAUAAAUUACCUUGUGGAGUAUUAAGAUCAAUAAUGUAUUGAUCAAAGUCAAAUCUUAGAAAANNNNNNNNNNNNNNNNNNNNNNNNNNNNNNNNNNNNNNNNNNNNNNNNNNNNNNNNNNNNNNNNNNNNNNNNNNNNNNNNNNNNNNNNNNNNNNNNNNNNNNNNNNNNNNNNNNNNNNNGGGAGAUAUAAAUUGUAAAGUAUGUUUUUCCCAAGUUUUAAUUUAUUUGAGAAAUUGUCAUGGUAAAGAUAUGUGAAUAUUGGUAAUGAAAUAUGCCCUAAGGGAUGACGGUGGCAUAUCACAUAGAUAAUAUGGAUAUGAUGGGGUCAGUAUCCCGAUCAUGCAUAUAUGAUAGAAAAUUUACUUUGCUAAUUGUGGUAUAGACUCAAAAAGUAGUCAAGCCGUUGAGAACGACUAAGUAACUCCAAAAGUAAAAGAUUUAUUUUAAUUAAAUAGAUUCCAACGACUACAUUGAAAUAAAUUACCUUGUAGAGUAUUAAGAUCAAUAAUGUAUGGAUCAAAGUCAAAUCUUAAGAAAAAAAAAAGAUGAGAGAUUAAUGAGAAAGGACAUCAAUGUUAAGUAACGAAUUUGUGAACAAAAGAUUACGAUGGUGGCAUAGAAAAUGAGUACUAUAAAUGAUUACUAUGAGGAUUUAUAAUUCUUGUAUUAACUCAGUUGAAUGAAAAGUGAUUAAAUGAAGCAACUCUUAUGGUAAACAGUGGAAUAGUGAAUUUGACGUAGAGUCUUGUUUAUAGUCAGUGAUUGCAGCACCGAUUAUAAACAGGAGGCUGUGUAGACUCUUUAUCUUGGAAAACCACCUAGUAUUAUCCUAAAUGACAUAAAGACUCAUGAUUAAGAGGAUUAUAGCUGAUCAAAUUCUAAAAGGUAAUAAUAGAUAUAAGUGAAGUAUUCAAGUUGAGUUGGAAAUAAAUACGAGGAGCAAAUCAAGAUUCCCUAUAAAGGAGAUAACAGGAGAAGUUGAGCAUCGAAUAAAAGAUAAUACCCCACCUUUUCUUUGAGUUUGAUAAGUGAAAUUUUGAGGACAAAAUUUUAUUUUAAUGGGGGGUAGUGUUGUCAAACCCUGUUCUAUAAAAUAAUUACGACGUCAUUUACAUGCUCAAUAGAAUGUUUGCAUAUUUAAGAAGUUCGAGAAAUUGUUAAAAGAUGAUAUUGCCCCUAAUGGUAUUAUUAAGUCGAUUAAGACUUGAACUAGUUCAAAUAGGAAUUUAAAGGUGAAAUUAUGAGCUUCACAGUCUAGGGAUGACUCAAAAUGGUAAUUCAGAGUUCGAGGAUCAAUUUGGAGUCAAACCGAAAUUUUCACUAUUUAGGGGUAAAAUGGUCAUUUGUCACCUGGGGACAAAAUGAAAAUUUUAGAAAAGAUUUUUUGGCCCCAUUUGACUUAUUAGAGUAUGAUUUGAGGUUUAGAAGUGAAAAAUUUUAAUUUCGGUAUAAUUUAGAGUAUAAAGGUGAAAUGGUAAUUUUGCUACCUUGAGGGCAAAUUGUUAAAUUUUCACCCCCGACACUUGUCAAGAUCAAGGAAUUUUAUUCAUUAUGAAAAUGGAUAAACAUGAGAAAUGUGUAGUGGAGAAUUAAAGAAUUAAAAGUCAAAUAUUUAAAAUUUGAACCAAUAAGGAAAUGCCAUGUGACAUGCUUUUAUUAUUUUAUUGUUUCUUUAUAAAAAGGCAUAAAAAUCAGCCCAUUUGUAAAGCCUGACCUUAGAAAAUGCUUGUCAUGACAUACAUGUGAUGAUAGCAUGAUUGCAUGCUAGGAGAGUCCCGAAAAAUUUACAAAAGUAGGUAUUGUACCUAGAGGUAUAACAAAUUUGAUUUAAGCCUCGAACUAGAUCAAAUAGGAAUUUUAAGGUGAGAUUAAGAGCUUCACAGUCCAUGGAUGACUCAAAAUGGCAAUUUGGAGUUUGAGGAUCAAUUUGGAAUCAAAUCGAAAUUUUCACUAUCUAGGGGUAAAAUGGUCAUUUGCCACCUAGGGACAAAUGGGAAUUUUUAAAAAAGAUAUUUUUACCCCAUUUGACUUAUUGGAGUAUGAUUUGAGUAUAGGAGUAUGAUUUGAGAUUGAAAAGUGAAAAAAAUUGUGAUCCCAGUAUUUUUCUAAGCAUAAGGGUAAUAUGGUAAUUUUGCCAUUCCAAGGGAAAAAUUGUAAUUUUACACACCCGACACUUGUCCAGCACAUGAAUUUUACCCAAUUUUAUCAUGCAUAAUUGAAGGGAUUUAUAUGGUGGAAAGAGAAAGCUUAAUAGUUAAGAAAUAAAAAUGGGCCAAUGAAAUGGUGACACGUGGCAUGUUAAUAUCCAUUUAUUUUUUUUAGCUUUAAAAUCAGCAAAAAUCAGCCUAUUUUCUUCAUUAUGGCCGGCCAAAGCAUGAAGUGAAGAAGAACAAAGAAAGAACAAAACCUAGGUGAGAAAAUUGAAAAAAAAAAGUGUGGGAUUUCAAGGAAUUAAGCUAAUAAAGGUAAAAUUUCUUGAUUUUAACUUGUGAUUUACACUACCCAUGCUUUCUUUUUCACUUUCUAUGGUUAGAUUUCAUGUUUUCAUGGUAAAUUCAUGGUUGGUUGGAAUGGGUAUGGAGAGAGAAAGAAGUUGGAUUGAUUUGAUUCUAAGUUAUGUUAGUGUUUUUGGUUAGUUUAUCAUGUCUAGAAACAAAUCAACAAGAAAAAUUCAUUUUUCUCCCAUUACCCAUCAUUGGCCGAAUUUUCUAGGGAGGAUAUUGAGGCUGAAAUUGAUGAUAUUUCAUGAUAUUUUGGUGGUAUUUAAUGAUUGGUGAGGCUAGAAAUUUAAUGAAAAAUUUUGGCAUGAAAAUCUGAAUUUUUACCUAAUGUAUAGACAUGUGCGAUUUAUGGUUCGGACUGAUAAAUUGAAUCAUAUUCACAGUCAUUGAGGUAUUUUAAGUAUAAUUGGAGUGUGGACAGUGAAAGAAAUCGAUUUGGAGUUAAAUUGGAAGCUUUAGCCAAUUACACCGAAAAUAGUGCGAAUUAGGUCGAAUAUUGUAUUUAAACGGCUAUUCGGACAUUUUUGCAUUCCAUAUCAUGCAUUAGUAGUCUAAAUUAGUUUAAUUUCGAUUUAGUACCAAUGUAGUAAGUUUCUCGAUUUUGUACUAUGUCUAGGUGGUGAAUCCUCCGAUAAAGGCAAGGAAAUUGUAUCUGAGGAUCGGUAGUCAGAGUACUCUAGAAAUUCGACUCCCGAAAUAGUGAGUAACCUUAUCAUCAUUUUAAUUAUCUAAAGUAUGUUUUAACUCGAUUUGGUGAAAUUUUAUGAAAAUGAGUUAAAUGACAAAUUUUAGGUUUUAUAAACAAAAAUGUGUUUAAAUGAAAAUACUUUAUAAAUUGUCUUGAAACGAAAUAACGAUUUUGAAAAUAGAGUAAUUGGAGACCACUGGUAUGUUGUAAAUUUAUGAUUGGAAAUUGAUGGUUUAUGUUAUAUUGUUAUUGUGUUGGCAUGACUGGUUGGGCUGUGUUUUAUGAAUUGUAUGAAUUAUUUUAUUUUACCCUUGUAGGUUGGGUAGUAUUAUAUUAGCCCUAUCAUGCUGUUAAAAUUUUAUUAUAUGGUGGGUUUAGCUUGCUGCAGUAGGUAGAUUUUGUGAACCAGCCUAUUAGAGGGGCACGAAAUUCGGAUAUAAAUAUGUACCUCGGUCGAAGAGGCGCGUAGGGUAUCUCCUGAGGUAUGGACAGAGUUCACGUCACGCCGAACCACCUCGUGAUGAUGAACUCCACUAAUGCCAAGGAAUGGUUGUGUUUUUCAAACUAAAAAUAUGUUUACGUGUAUACGAACUUUUUAAUAGCCUUGACGGACUCGGUUAGAUGCCUCGACCAAGGUAUCCCCGAGAAUGAUUUUGGCAGGAGCCAAGCUUUUAAGAUACUCAUAAGCCAUGUUGAAUAUUUAAAUGAAAUGAAUAUUUAUGUUAUGAAAUACAUAUUGAGAUGAAAUAUUUUAAUUGUCUCCUUUUACUUGACUUUAGAUAUUUCAGAUGAUGUUUGUUUACUCACUAGGAUUAUAAAAUCUCACCACUCUCCUUUCCACCCAUUUCAGGUUCAGAUUAGGUUGUAGAUAGCUGAGUUCAUCGAGGACUACCCUUGGAUUUGCAUUCCUUCAAAUUGUAAGUUCACAGUCCUCUUUACUUUUGCUUAUUCAGGGGCCCACUGGUCAUUGUAAAUUAAAUUAAAUACUUUGGUUUAUUGCAUUAUAGUAUGUAUGAAUUUACUUUGCUUUUAUGCUACAAAACUUAUCUACGUAUAACUCUAGAAAUAUUGUUUAAUAAGAAAAUAGAAUAUUUCACUUAAUAUUUAUUUUAUUUUCUUAUUAUAUGCAAAUAAUCAUAAUUUCGUUUUAAACGAAUGUUUUAGACAUCUAAAUUUAUUUUUUAUUUUGAAAUAUGUGUUCUGCACUUAUAUACUACAUUAUUGGCUGGUUUCAAAAUUUGAGAAAAAAUUACCAAAAUGCCCCUGUGAGGAAAAUUUUAUUUUUCUAUUGUUUUGAAUUGGAAAUAGUUUAUAAUCUCUCAAAACAUGAUUUUAGCAACUAAUACUCACGGGGGAAGCGAGAAAAACUGAUGUUAAGUCUUGCGAGGUUUCGAUUGAUAUUUCGGGUAAUGAAUGUCUAUCGAGACAUCGCGACGGUUGUCACGGGCUCGAUGGGAGUUCCGGGUCGUGACACCAUCUCUCCAAUAGUGAUCAGCCAAACCAGAAGAGAAGAGAAGAGAAACCAAGGAAAAACAAACCCUAGGUGGGAAAAAUCAAAGAGAAAGUGUUGGAAUUCAAGGAUUUGAUCAAGCAAAGGUAAAAUUUCUUUGAUUUUGCUAGUGAUUUACCUUACCCAUGCAUUUUCCCUUAAUUUUCAUGGUUAAAUUACAUGUUUUCAUGAUGAAUUCAUGGCUGGUUGGAAUGGGUAUGGAGAAAGAAUGAUGUUAGAUUGAUUUGAUUCUAAGUUAUGUUAGUGUUUUUAGUUAGUUAAGCAUGUUUAGAAACAAAACAACAAGAAAAGAAUCCAUUUUCCCCAUGAACCUUCAAUGGCCGAACCCUAUGUGAAGUGUAGAAGUAAUGAAUUGAUUUUGUGAUCAAGUGAAUUGGUUGAAAAAUUGAUGAAAUGAUUAUUUAUGGUGAGAAAAUGGAAUGGGAAAAUUUUUAGUGAUAAUGCACCACAAUGGCCGAAAUUUUCAAGAAGAAUUGUAAGGGUUGUUAGGCUGAAUUUUAGAUUAUUGGAAUUGUAUUUAGUGAAUUGAAAUAUUAGAAAUGAAAUGGAGCAAUUUGGAGCCAAAUCGGACACAAUUGUCAUUUAAUCGGGGUAAUAGGCCGAAUUAGAUCAGCACCGCAUUCAAGCGGUAGUCGGAUAAGUUGCAUAUCAUAUCAUGCAUAUACACUGAGCCUGAAUUGAUUUUAUAAUGGUCAAGCAUUGAUGUGGUGAAUUAUGUAUUGUACAUUGUGGAUAGGUGGUGAGUAAAUUACACUGGUAAAAGUACAGAGAUUGUGCUUAGAGACUGGGAUUAAGAGUACAUCGACUCCUAGAACUGUGAGUAAACUUAUUAUCGUCUUAAUUAUCUAGAGUAGUUUUAUACAAUUAUGUGAUUUUAUGAAAUUUCGGAUGUAAAGACAUUUAACAGUCUUGACGGACUCGGCUGGGAUAACCCUCGAUCAAGGUAUCCCUGAUAACUGAGUAUGAGAAUGAUUUUUUUUGCACGAGCCAAGCUUUUCAGGAAAUCAUAAGCCUAGUUGUUUAUUUGGUUGAAAUGAGUUGAAAGGUAAUAAAAUUAAAAUAUGAUGACUUAUUUUAAUUCGUCUCCAUUUACUCGCCUUUAGAUAGUUUAUAUGGUGUCUGUUUACUCACUGAGAUUUUAUAAUCUCACCAACCUCAUUUCCUCACAUUUCAGGCUCAGGGAAUUCCAUAGUUAGCUGACUUUGACAAGGACCUUCAUUUGGACUUGAAUCGGCAAAAGCUGUAGGUUUUCAGCUUUCGAUGCAUUUUGGUUAGAUGUGGGCCCACGUGUCACUGUAAAAGUAAUUUUAUGCUUUGGUUAUUUGCUUUAUAGUAUAUAUGAAUAUAAUUAACUUUUACGCUAUAAGAAUUAUUUACCAAUAGCUUUAUAAAAAUUAUUUUACUAGAAAAUAAUUUAUUUUAUUGAAUAUUUUUAUUAUAUUCAAAUGG
rnacentral:lncRNA from 1 species